CUGACAUCCAGACCCUAGAGCCAUGCUCCAGUUGUUGCUUUGUCUUUUUGUUCUGCAGUUAAUCACCAUCUUUGCACAUUCCUUCACCCAUUCCACACUGUGCAUGGCACUAGGAUCAAAUGGGCCAAAAAGAAAUGCGUGCAAAGAGCCUGCUCCUGAUGAGCUGCCAGAUAUACCAGAAGCUGCAUGUAUUCGGCCUGCUUUUGUACAGUGAUGUGGAAGGGGAAAUAACUUGAGCAACUGGCAAAAGCCAGCAUGAUUCAGGCAGGCAGGUGGCCCUGCAUGCUGGCUAGGAGAGGGGUAGGAAGGAGUGCAAGGCUCACACUGCCUCUUAGUAAUAGCUGGAGGCAAGCAGGAGCUGUGACCCGCACAUGCAAACUGUCUUCUUUCAUCUGCCACCAGCAAGGUGCUGUCCCCAUUCACCCAGCACCCCAGCCACCCGCCAGAAGAGCUGGGGGAAAAUAAUUAGAGAAUGGUCAAGACCUCUGAGUCACAUGGACAUUUCUUCUCCUUUUAGAGAUCAGAGCACACCACUGCCGAGGGCAGUCAAAUACCCAGGACAUGGACUGUCUACUGUGAUGACUUUUGAGGGAGAACACGGCUUUGUGCAAAGACCCUUACACUGCAAGAACCUCUGUGCUCCCCAAAUGACUCCAACAAGGAUGAGCAUAUUGCCAUGGCAACCAAAAUACAGAAGCUGGGAAAGGUUUGUUCCCCUGACCGUCCCCAGUCUGUGUGAGCAUCUCUGGCAGAGGUAGAGGGAGUGGUUCUGGGAAGGGACCCAUAUAGGGUUGAGUUUCCUAGCAGGAAGCAGAGUGUGCAGUGCUCAUGAGGCACCUCUCAUUAACUCUCCA
rnacentral:lncRNA from 1 species